CACGUAGGGCGCGAGCGUUGUCCGGAAUUAUUGGGCGUAAAGGGCGUGUAGGCGGUUUGUUAAGUCUUCUGUGAAAUCUACGGGCUUAGCCUGUAACGUGCAGAGGAAACUGACAGGCUUGAGUGUCGGAGAGGAUAGGGGAAUUCCCGGUGUAGAGGUGAAAUUCGUAGAGAUCGGGAGGAACACCAGUGGCGAAGGCGACUAUCUGGCUGACAACUGACGCUGAGACUCGAAAGCAUGGGGAGCAAACAGG
rnacentral:rRNA from 1 species